rnacentral:ncRNA from 1 species
UGCGUAGCGCGUGUUUCAUGACAAUGUUCGGAAAGGACACGCCUUUAAGGCGCGCGGUGCGGAUGUAUUGUGCCGUCAUCACCUCGGUCAUCGAGGCACGGGUCAUCCGGGCGAUAUACCCCAUGCCAUACAAAGCGAUCGUCAGGACCGGUAAGAAGAAAUUCUCGAAGGUCGGGUUC